AACCCUGAAUACCAUGAGGACUGAUUGAGAUCAUUUAUGUCAGGGGUCCAAAGAGCUUCACUUGCUAUCAAGUGUUAAUGAUUCCACAUUUUGUCAGAUCUAGCAUCAGUUUCCUGCUUCUGUGGCAAUGGUGAAGAGCUUGCAAUGCAGAAACAGAGAAGAAUUCAGUCUAAGGAACAGAAAAAAUACAGGUCGCAAAUUGAGAGUUCCACAAAAUGUACAUUCAAUUAGAAGGCUUGGAGCAGAUGAUGCAGUUUUUUGGUGUUUUGCAUGAACAAUGGCAAUGACACCUCUUACCAGUCUGACAUCAUUUUGACGUGACUGUUGUAAUGCUGGCUAACUGACAAAAGAUUUAAAAGGCAAACUAGGAGAGAAGGUGAGAGACGCAAAACAAGAAAAGAUCAAAACUGGGGGAUCAAAAAGAAUCAAAACAAUGUAGCCAAAGCGCUGAAGAAAAAUCAAGGUUAGAAGUGCGAAGCAAAAGUUGGGAAUCUAAAUGAUCAAUACAAAAGCAAGGAAUUCUCAACAGAAGGUUUAACAAAAGUUUGUUAUUCGCAUUUGUCUUGAAUAAAGAAAUGGUGAAAUAGCCGAUCUUUUAAACACA